UGUGUGUGUGUGUGUGUGUGUGUUGGAGAUGGUGGGGGUUAAGUCUGCAGAGGCUUUCCUCUCUGUGUUGUUGGUGGCCAUUAAAAGCAUGAUGCAUAAAAUCUCAGGUUGUCAGAAAGCACACAGACUCCUGCAGGCUCCUGUAGGCUGGUGCUGCUCACUGCCGUCCUUUUAAAGCAGAACCGGACAUGCAGGAGAACCUCCAGAACCAGCCGAGUCCGGAGAGGGAUGGUGUUUAUCCUGAGCACGCAGGUGAAAACACAGCCCAGGUGAAACAUGCUGGCCGGCGCUGCGAACACACUCUGCUGCUACUCUGACCUGAACGCUUUCGUUUCGCUGCGACUCACAGAGUCUCGUUUUCUGGUUCCUGGCGGCUCGUCUAACCCUCUCCAGCUCCGGCUCCUUUUCUCUCCACGGGCAACUUUAAAAACUUCAUCAAUAUGUUAAUGACUUAAUCUUUAAACACUUAAAGAAACCAUUAAUAAACAUUGAUUUGAACACUUGCCACCAGUGACUCACAUUAAUCCAGUGCAAAUAGCAGAUACACAAACUGCAGCGGAGGGCAAUUUGUGGAGGAUUACCAACGGAAAAUGGACAUGAGAGACACCGAUCACAUUUUCAGAGGCCGAGGAAAAACGAGGAGACGGCUCAACCUUCUUCCUUCAUUUGUUAAGGCCAAAGAUCUUUGUAAAAAGAAAAAAACACUUAAAUAGAAAUAAUGUUGAUUAUAAAAAAACAUCAUUACUUUCAAUGUUUUGUCUUUACAAGAAAAGAAAACUUUCAGAUAUAUGUUGGAUUCCCCAAUAACAAUGAUUUGAAAUCAACAUAAAAUGACAUAUUUUCAUUUCACUGCUUUUCAGGAUAAAGGUUGUAAUGUUUUCAUUUAAAUUAAUCUAAUCAAGCUCGAUUUAUCCUUGUGAACGCGCUGCUAAAUGUGCCAACGGCGGAGAAACAACUCAGCGUUACAGUGAAUCUGUUCAUGUGCCAUCAUCACAUGAGCAGUAAAAGUAUCUCUAAUAGAUAUUUUUAAUACUAUACAAGAUGCUCAUCAAAUUAAAUAUUUGCUUUUGUGUCGUCCUUUUCACCCACGUUGUUUUAUCUUCACUGUUAACAACUGAAAUGAAAUGUAACAGAAACAUCAUUUAAUGUCUCACAGCAGCAAAGUGAAUAAAAACAAAAAAAUUACACUCACAGCAUUUUCUUUCAGAAAUGCUGUGAGGUUUGAACAACUCAAAAAGAUUAUGGAUGAAGCUGCUUGUUUUUGCUGAAAUGUAGCAUCUCUUACAAGUAUUAUAAAUUCUUAAAAAGUUGAUUAAUGACCCUUUGAAAUCAAGGAGGAUAAAGGAAGAUUUUGGUUUUAAGGACCAACAACAAACCCGUAGAUGUAGUUGGUCUGUCAGCUGGGAAGUUGGUCAGCUUUGUCCCUUCACUGGUUUCCCAUAGAAAAUAAAAUAAAAAUAACAUUUAAAUCAUUUUAGGAUGACGUAAGUUCUCAAAAACUAAAUAAAAAUGCAAGAGAUGAGGUUAAUGAGAGUUUUCUUACAUCACUUAGUGAUUUCUACAUGACUUUUUAAAAAUAUAUCCCUAAUAUUUCUUCUAAAGAACCCAGAUAUAACUGUAACAUUGAAUUAUCAUCUUAAUCCACACCUUGAGUGCCCUAAUGGGCUGUCGUUCCUCUCCUAUAUAUCUCAGGAUAACACCUUUCACACAAAGCUAAAGUCUCCCCGAAGCCCCACGGACACGGCUUUAACGCCUCGUGUUGUUGGAGUACAUUUUUCCUGUUUGCUUUAGAUAACAAAUCUUCGGUUGACCCCGAGGGUUAGGGGAGCAUUACAAAUUAAUCCCAGUUUUAAUAAGUCUGUCUUAAGCCUGGGAUCUGUACUCAAGAAAGAAAGAAAGGAGGAAAAAGGGGGAGGGAGAGAAUAAAGGGAUCUAAGAGGAAAAGAAAUAUAUUAAAGCCUGUGAUCACAGGCAGCUUUUCUUGUUUGUUAUCCCUCCGUUUUACCUUUAAUCCAAUACUUGCUAAUCCAAUUUGUCUUUCGGGCUUCGACCCUAACUUCUCUUCUUACGCCUUUUUCCCCCAAAUUCGCCGAGGCCUCGACAGUCGGUGACGACCGCGCCUCCUUCAGCAGUCAAUCAGAAUCAAACCUUUGACUUCACAAACUGUACAAUAACAGAAAAAACCUCCGAAACCUUUUU